UACGUAGGGCGCAAGCGUUUAUCCGGAAUUAUUGGGCGUAAAGAGCUCGUAGGCGGUUUGUCGCGUCUGCCGUGAAAGUCCGGGGCUCAACUCCGGAUCUGCGGUGGGUACGGGCAGACUGGAGUGAUGUAGGGGAGACUGGAAUUCCUGGUGUAGCGGUGAAAUGCGCAGAUAUCAGGAGGAACACCGAUGGCGAAGGCAGGUCUCUGGGCAUUAACUGACGCUGAGGAGCGAAAGCAUGGGGAGCGAACAGG
rnacentral:rRNA from 1 species